AGGACGAACGCUGGCGGCGUGCUNACACAUGCAAGUCUAGGCAGAAAGUACUUCGGGUGCGAGUAAACUGGCGAACGGAUGAGUAACGUGUAGGUAAUUUGCCUACGAGUGGGGAAUAGGUCCGGGAAACCGGAAUUAAUACCGCAUAACGUCAUGCUCCGAUGGGAGUGUGAUCAAAGGUGGGGACCUUCGGGCCCAUCGCUUGUAGAUAAGCCUGCAUCUGAUUAGUUAGUUGGUAGGGUAACGGCCUACCAAGACCGCGAUCAGUAGCUGUUCUAAGAGGAAGAUCAGCCACAUUGGGACUGAGAUACGGCCCAGACUCCUACGGGAGGCAGCAGUGAGGAAUUUUGCGCAAUGGGAGAGAUCCUGACGCAGCAACGCCGCGUGACCGAUUGAAGCUUUUAGGAGUGUAAAGGUCUGUCGUGAGGGAAGAAAAAGACCGAGAAUAAUAAGUUCGGUAAUUGACGGUACCUCACAAGCAAGCUCCGGCUAACUUCGUGCCAGCAGCCGCGGUAAUACGAGGGGAGCAAGCGUUGUCCGAAAUAACUGGGCGUAAAGGGUACGUAGGCUUUUUUGUAUGUUUCCGGUGAAAUUCACAGGCUCAACUUGUGACUUGCCGGAAAAACUGCAGAGAUUGAAUCCGGAAGGGGAAAGCGGAAUUCCUGGUGUAGCGGUGAAAUGCGUAGAUAUCAGGAGGAACGCCAGUGGCGAAGGCGGCUUUCUGGUCCGGAAUUGACGCUGAGGUACUAAAGCGUGGGUAGCAAACAGGAUUAGAUACCCUGGUAAUCCACGCCCUAAACGAUGGAUACUUGAUGUCGGGAUGUCCGGUCGUCUCGGUGUCGUAGCUAACGUGUUAAGUAUCCCGCCUGGGGACUACGGUCGCAAGACUGAAACUCACAGGAAUUGACGGCGGCCCGCACCAGCGGUGGAACAUGUGGUUUAUUUCGAUGCAACGCG
rnacentral:rRNA from 1 species